GAGUUUCGGGCACUCUCAAAGUGUACUCGCGAGUAGUAGAGUAUCGGAAUAAAAUUUGAAAAGUAGAAAGAAAGGGUAAAUCGAUUCAUCGAUAAAAUGGGGAUAUACAACAAACUUGCAAUUUUGACCUUCGUAGUUAUGGCCGCUGCAGCACCGGCUGCUUUAAGCUCUAUUUUGCAAAUUGAAAUUUCUCUCCUAGGACAGAAACUAGUAGAGUUGAAACUUCCGUGAGUCACUCGAAUUCCAGUUUGACUCGUCGCACUUCGGUCCUUCGCAAUCGGUCUCUGAGAUGGGGGCGUUUAUGGAAAAUCGAAGAUGUGUAAAAAAAUAGGUAUAA